rnacentral:rRNA from 1 species
GAGGAGCUUGCUCUUCUUGGAUGAGUUGCGAACGGGUGAGUAACGCGUAGGUAACCUGCCUGGUAGCGGGGGAUAACUAUUGGAAACGAUAGCUAAUACCGCAUAAAAUGGAUUAUCGCAUGAUAAUUCAUUGAAGGGUGCAAAUGCAUCACUACCAGAUGGACCUGCGUUGUAUUAGCUAGUUGGUGGGGUAACGGCUCACCAAGGCGACGAUACAUAGCCGACCUGAGAGGGUGAUCGGCCACACUGGGACUGAGACACGGCCCAGACUCCUACGGGAGGCAGCAGUAGGGAAUCUUCGGCAAUGGACGGAAGUCUGACCGAGCAACGCCGCGUGAGUGAAGAAGGUUUUCGGAUCGUAAAGCUCUGUUGUAAGAGAAGAACGAGUGUGAGAGUGGAAAGUUCACACUG